GAUGAACGCUGGCGGCGUGCCUAACACAUGCAAGUCGAGCGAUCUUCUUCGGAAGAGAGCGGCGGACGGGUGAGUAACGCGUGGGUAACCUGCCUCAUACACAUGGAUAACAUACCGAAAGGUAUGCUAAUACAAGAUGAUAUAAGAGAUUCGCAUGGAUUUCUUAUCAAAGCUCCGGCGGUAUGAGAUGGACCCGCGUCUGAUUAGCUAGUUGGUAAGGUAAUGGCUUACCAAGGCUUCGAUCAGUAGCCGACCUGAGAGGGUGAUCGGCCACAUUGGAACUGAGACACGGUCCAAACUCCUACGGGAGGCAGCAGUGGGGAAUAUUGCACAAUGGGCGAAAGCCUGAUGCAGCAACGCCGCGUGAGCGAUGAAGGCCUUCGGGUCGUAAAGCUCUGUCCUCAAGGAAGAUAAUGACGGUACUUGAGGAGGAAGCCCCGGCUAACUACGUGCCAGCAGCCGCGGUAAUACGUAGGGGGCUAGCGUUAUCCGGAUUUACUGGGCGUAAAGGGUGCGUAGGUGGUUUCUUAAGUCAGGAGUGAAAGGCUACGGCUUAACCGUAGUAAGCUCUUGAAACUGGGAAACUUGAGUGCAGGAGAGGAAAGUGGAAUUCCUAGUGUAGCGG
rnacentral:rRNA from 1 species